rnacentral:rRNA from 1 species
AUUGAACGCUGGCGGCAGGCUUGACACAUGCAAGUCGAGCGGAGCGAGGGUGCUUGCACCUUAGCUUAGCGGCGGACGGGUGAGUAAUGCUUAGGAAUCUGCCUAUUAGUGGGGGACAACAUUCCGAAAGGAAUGCUAAUACCGCAUACGCCCUACGGGGGAAAGCAGGGGAUCUUCGGACCUUACGCUAAUAGAUGAGCCUAAGUCGGAUUAGCUAGUUGGUGGGGUAAAGGCCUACCAAGGCGACGAUCUGUAGCGGGUCUGAGAGGAUGAUCCGCCACACUGGGACUGAGACACGGCCCAGACUCCUACGGGAGGCAGCAGUGGGGAAUAUUGGACAAUGGGGGGAACCCUGAUCCAGCCAUGCCGCGUGUGUGAAGAAGGCCUUAUGGUUGUAAAGCACUUUAAGCGAGGAGGAGGCUCUUUUGGUUAAUACCCAAGAUGAGUGGACGUUACUCGCAGAAUAAGCACCGGCUAACUCUGUGCCAGCAGCCGCCGUAA